rnacentral:rRNA from 1 species
AUGGGAACGCGAAGAACCUUACCUACUCUUGACAUCCAGAGAACUUUCCAGAGAUGGAUUGGUGCCUUCGGGAACUCUGAGACAGGUGCUGCAUGGCUGUCGUCAGCUCGUGUUGUGAAAUGUUGGGUUAAAGUCCCGCAACGAGCGCAACCCUUAUCCUUUGUUGCCAGCGGUUAGGCCGGGAACUCAAAGGAGACUGCCAGUGAUAAACUGGAGGAAGGUGGGGAUGACGUCAAGUCAUCAUGGCCCUUACGAGUAGGGCUACACACGUGCUACAAUGGCGCAUACAAAGAGAAGCGACCUCGCGAGAGCAAGCGGACCUCAUAAAAGUGCGUCGUAGUCCGGAUUGGAGUCUGCAACUCGACUCCAUGAAGUCGGAAUCGCUAGUAAUCGUAGAUCAGAAUGCUACGGUG